CGGCAACAGCUCAAAUUUGAAAUCUGGCUUCGGCCCGAAUUGUAAUUUGCAGAGGAUGCUUUGGGUGCGGUCCAGCGCAAGUUCCUUGGAACAGGACGCCAUAGAGGGUGAGAGCCCCGUACGCGUUGGCGCCAAGUCCAUGUAUAGCUCCUUCGAC
rnacentral:rRNA from 1 species